CCGGUGCUUGCACCGGGGAUUAGUGGCGAACGGGUGAGUAACACGUGAGUAACCUGCCCUUGACUCUGGGAUAAGCCUGGGAAACCGGGUCUAAUACCGGAUACGACCUUUCACCGCAUGGUGGUUGGUGGAAAGAUUUUUUGGUUUUGGAUGGACUCGCGGCCUAUCAGCUUGUUGGUGAGGUAAUGGCUCACCAAGGCGACGACGGGUAGCCGGCCUGAGAGGGUGACCGGCCACACUGGGACUGAGACACGGCCCAGACUCCUACGGGAGGCAGCAGUGGGGAAUAUUGCACAAUGGGCGAAAGCCUGAUGCAGCGACGCCGCGUGAGGGAUGACGGCCUUCGGGUUGUAAACCUCUUUCAGCAGGGAAGAAGCGAAAGUGACGGUACCUGCAGAAGAAGCGCCGGCUAACUACGUGCCAGCAGCCGCGGUAAUACGUAGGGCGCAAGCGUUGUCCGGAAUUAUUGGGCGUAAAGAGCUCGUAGGCGGUUUGUCGCGUCUGCUGUGAAAGCCCGGGGCUCAACCCCGGGUCUGCAGUGGGUACGGGCAGACUAGAGUGCAGUAGGGGAGACUGGAAUUCCUGGUGUAGCGGUGAAAUGCGCAGAUAUCAGGAGGAACACCGAUGGCGAAGGCAGGUCUCUGGGCUGUAACUGACGCUGAGGAGCGAAAGCAUGGGGAGCGAACAGGAUUAGAUACCCUGGUAGUCCAUGCCGUAAACGUUGGGCACUAGGUGUGGGGGACAUUCCACGUUUUCCGCGCCGUAGCUAACGCAUUAAGUGCCCCG
rnacentral:rRNA from 1 species